GGUCACGAGUGCCAGCGCGAAGCCCCGGCUCGCUGGCCGGCAACCCUCCUCCGCGAUGGGGUGCCCCGGGUGACGACCAGGCGGCUGCCGUCCGGCAGUCCGCAAGCGCGGACC
rnacentral:ncRNA from 2 species